UACGUAGGGUGCAAGCGUUGUCCGGAAUUAUUGGGCGUAAAGGGCUCGUAGGCGGUUUGUCGCGUCUGCUGUGAAAACCCGAGGCUCAACCUCGGGCCUGCAGUGGGUACGGGCAGACUAGAGUGCGGUAGGGGAGAUUGGAAUUCCUGGUGUAGCGGUGGAAUGCGCAGAUAUCAGGAGGAACACCAAUGGCGAAGGCAGAUCUCUGGGCAUUAACUGACGCUGAGGAGCGAAAGCAUGGGGAGCGAACAGG
rnacentral:rRNA from 1 species